AAGGUUAAGCCUCACGGUUCAUUAGUACCGGUUAGCUCAACGCAUCGCUGCGCUUACACACCCGGCCUAUCAACGUCAUCGUCUUCAACGUUCCUUCAGGACUCUCAAGGAGUCAGGGAGAACUCAUCUCGGGGCAAGUUUCGUGCUUAGAUGCUUUCAGCACUUAUCUCUUCCGCAUUUAGCUACCGGGCAGUGCCAUUGGCAUGACAACCCGAACACCAGUGAUGCGUCCACUCCGGUCCUCUCGUACUAGGAGCAGCCCCCCUCAGUUCUCCAGCGCCCACGGCAGAUAGGGACCGAACUGUCUCACGACGUUCUAAACCCAGCUCGCGUACCACUUUAAAUGGCGAACAGCCAUACCCUUGGGACCUACUUCAGCCCCAGGAUGUGAUGAGCCGACAUCGAGGUGCCAAACACCGCCGUCGAUAUGAACUCUUGGGCGGUAUCAGCCUGUUAUCCCCGGAGUACCUUUUAUCCGUUGAGCGAUGGCCCUUCCAUUCAGAACCACCGGAUCACUAUGACCUGCUUUCGCACCUGCUCGCGCCGUCACGCUCGCAGUCAAGCUGGCUUAUGCCAUUGCACUAACCUCCUGAUGUCCGACCAGGAUUAGCCAACCUUCGUGCUCCUCCGUUACUCUUUAGGAGGAGACCGCCCCAGUCAAACUACCCACCAGACACUGUCCGCAACCCGGAUUACGGGUCCACGUUAGAACAUCAAACAUUAAAGGGUGGUAUUUCAAGGCCGGCUCCAUGCAGACUGGCGUCCACACUUCUAAGCCUCCCACCUAUCCUACACAUCAAGGCUCAAUGUUCAGUGUCAAGCUAUAGUAAAGGUUCACGGGGUCUUUCCGUCUUGCCGCGGGUACACUGCAUCUUCACAGCGAGUUCAAUUUCACUGAGUCUCGGGUGGAGACAGCCUGGCCAUCAUUACGCCAUUCGUGCAGGUCGGAACUUACCCGACAAGGAAUUUCGCUACCUUAGGACCGUUAUAGUUACGGCCGCCGUUUACCGGGGCUUCGAUCAAGAGCUUCGCUUGCGCUGACCCCAUCAAUUAACCUUCCGGCACCGGGCAGGCGUCACACCGUAUACGUCCACUUUCGUGUUUGCACAGUGCUGUGUUUUUAAUAAACAGUUGCAGCCAGCUGGUAUCUUCGACUGAUUUCAGCUCCAUCCGCGAGGGACUUCACCUACAUAUCAGCGUGCCUUCUCCCGAAGUUACGGCACCAUUUUGCCUAGUUCCUUCACCCGAGUUCUCUCAAGCGCCUUGGUAUUCUCUACCUGACCACCUGUGUCGGUUUGGGGUACGAUUUGAUGUUACCUGAUGCUUAGAGGCUUUUCCUGGAAGCAGGGCAUUUGUUGCUUCAGCACCGUAGUGCCUCGUCAUCACGCCUCAGCCUUGAUUUUCCGGAUUUGCCUGGAAAAUCAGCCUACACGCUUAAACCGGGACAACCGUCGCCCGGCCAACAUAGCCUUCUCCGUCCCCCCUUCGCAGUAACACCAAGUACAGGAAUAUUAACCUGUUUCCCAUCGACUACGCCUUUCGGCCUCGCCUUAGGGGUCGACUCACCCUGCCCCGAUUAACGUUGGACAGGAACCCUUGGUCUUCCGGCGAGCGGGCUUUUCACCCGCUUUAUCGUUACUUAUGUCAGCAUUCGCACUUCUGAUACCUCCAGCAUGCCUCACAGCACACCUUCACAGGCUUACAGAACGCUCCCCUACCCAACAACGCAUAAGCGUCGCUGCCGCAGCUUCGGUGCAUGGUUUAGCCCCGUUACAUCUUCCGCGCAGGCCGACUCGACCAGUGAGCUAUUACGCUUUCUUUAAAUGAUGGCUGCUUCUAAGCCAACAUCCUGGCUGUCUGGGCCUUCCCACAUCGUUUCCCACUUAACCAUGACUUUGGGACCUUAGCUGGCGGUCUGGGUUGUUUCCCUCUUCACGACGGACGUUAGCACCCGCCGUGUGUCUCCCGUGAUAACAUUCUCCGGUAUUCGCAGUUUGCAUCGGGUUGGUAAGUCGGGAUGACCCCCUUGCCGAAACAGUGCUCUACCCCCGGAGAUGAAUUCACGAGGCGCUACCUAAAUAGCUUUCGGGGAGAACCAGCUAUCUCCCGGUUUGAUUGGCCUUUCACCCCCAGCCACAAGUCAUCCGCUAAUUUUUCAACAUUAGUCGGUUCGGUCCUCCAGUUAGUGUUACCCAACCUUCAACCUGCCCAUGGCUAGAUCACCGGGUUUCGGGUCUAUACCCUGCAACUUAACGCCCAGUUAAGACUCGGUUUCCCUUCGGCUCCCCUAUUCGGUUAACCUUGCUACAGAAUAUAAGUCGCUGACCCAUUAUACAAAAGGUACGCAGUCACCCCAUAAAGAGGCUCCCACUGCUUGUACGUACACGGUUUCAGGUUCUUUUUCACUCCCCUCGCCGGGGUUCUUUUCGCCUUUCCCUCACGGUACUGGUUCACUAUCGGUCAGUCAGGAGUAUUUAGCCUUGGAGGAUGGUCCCCCCAUAUUCAGACAGGAUACCACGUGUCCCGCCCUACUCAUCGAGCUCACAGCAUGUGCAUUUUUGUGUACGGGGCUGUCACCCUGUAUCGCGCGCCUUUCCAGACGCUUCCACUAACACACACACUGAUUCAGGCUCUGGGCUGCUCCCCGUUCGCUCGCCGCUACUGGGGGAAUCUCGGUUGAUUUCUUUUCCUCGGGGUACUUAGAUGUUUCAGUUCCCCCGGUUCGCCUCAUUAACCUAUGGAUUCAGUUAAUGAUAGUGUGUCGAAACACACUGGGUUUCCCCAUUCGGAAAUCGCCGGUUAUAACGGUUCAUAUCACCUUACCGACGCUUAUCGCAGAUUAGCACGUCCUUCAUCGCCUCUGACUGCCAGGGCAUCCACCGUGUACGCUUAGUCGCUUAA
rnacentral:rRNA from 1 species